UAUAUUAUACUAAUAUACUUUAUAAUAGGGGUGAUAUACUGAUGACAAAGAGGAAGCAAAACUCAUGUGGUCUGCUGCAUAUAAACCCACACACACACUCAAAAGCAAC